rnacentral:sRNA from 1 species
AUAUGCGACAAACGUUCAACACCAUGAAAUUUUUCUCCUGAGAUCUACAUGAAUAUAUACAAAUAAUUUCCAAAUGCCAAGUAAUUUUAGGGAUCCUUUCAUCCGCCAUUACAGUUUCUAAGCUAUCCAUCUGGUAGGUCCUUUGAAACGAUUUUUUGGACUUUUGAAGUUCGAAGCCAUCUUUGUGUAAUUAAUGCUGCAUUUUAAAGCAUGACUCUUGUAGUCCAUCCACCUAAUAUAUGUCUUAUGAGCAGAUUAACCAAUCGUGUCUACAUUGAGGAAGAGGCUGUAAUAGCAUUUCCCUGGAAUCGUGUCUACAUUGAGGAAGAGGCUGCAAUAACAUCUCUCUGGAUUUUUUCCAACGAAAAGUUUAGAUUAAUAAUUUUCUAGGGUGAAAAAAGUUGAUCUGUGGUAAUAAACAAAAUUGAAAAUUUUAGUUAAUUUCCUAAAAAAAAAAAUAAAUUCCUACCUAAAAUGUUA